rnacentral:rRNA from 1 species
UACGUAGGUGACCAGCGUUGUCCGGAUUUACUGGGCGUAAAGAGCGCGCAGGCGGUCGUUCAAGUCGGGUGUGAAAGCCCCCGGCUCAACUGGGGAGGGUCAUUCGAUACUGAUCGACUUGAAGGCAGGAGAGGGAAGUGGAAUUCCCGGUGUAGUGGUGAAAUGCGUAGAUAUCGGGAGGAACACCAGUGGCGAAGGCGACUACCUGGCCUGUUCUUGACGCUGAGGCGCGAAAGCGAGGGGAGCAAACGGG